AAAGGGUUAAGUCAGAAUUUUUGUGGACCAAUAUGCCCCCACCUAACCCCACUACCCAUCACACAAUCCUCUCCCUCUUUUCUCUCUUUGGCCGGUCACUCCCACUCUUAUUCUCCUUUUCUUUUUCUUUUUCAGUCAACACAACACUCACACACACUCCUCUCCCUCACCCUCCCACCGGUACAUUCCUCAUCCUCACCUCUACCAUUUUUUCUUGCAAAUCACUAGAGAAUCCUCAAGAACAUCACACCUUCACAUAAGUAAAUUGAGAGUAGGCAACAAUCUUUUGAGACAGCAUUUUUGGUGGCUAAUAGUAGUUAGACUAACUACUGAUGGAGGCUGAAUUUUUGUGUAAUGGAUAUAUUAGAUGGUGUACAUCUUAGUCUAGGCUUGACUCAUUCUUUUGUAUAUUAUAGUGGUUAUGACUGUAUUUUCCACUGUUGGGACAAGCUGUUGUUAUGUAAUGGUUGUUUUCAGACCUCUAUUCU